rnacentral:rRNA from 1 species
GUUUCUUAAUUGGAAACUUGUAUGAAUGGUUGGAUGAAAAAUAUACUUUCUUUAUUUUAUAUAAAAAAUUUUAUUUUUUAGUUAAAAAGCUAAAAUUUUGCUAUAGGACGAGAAGACCCUAUAGAACUUUAUUAUAACUUAUUUAUUAAUUUUAAAAAUAGGUUUUUAUAUGUCUGUUAUAAUUUGAUUGGGGUGAUGGAAAAAAUUAUAUAACUUUUUCUCUUUGUUACAUUUAUUGAUGUUUAUUUGAUCCUAUAUUAUGGAAUAUAAGUUUAAGUUACCUUAGGGAUAACAGCGUUAUUCUCUUGGAGAGUUCAUAUUGAUAAGAGAGUUUGCGACCUCGAUGUUGGAUUAAAGUUAGUUUUAGGGGUAUAAUAUUAAAAACUUGGUCUGUUCGACCAUUAAAUCUUUACA